AGUCGAGCGAACAGACGAGGAGCUUGCUCCUUUGACGUUAGCGGCGGACGGGUGAGUAACACGUGGGUAACCUACCUAUAAGACUGGGAUAACUUCGGGAAACCGGAGCUAAUACCGGAUAAUAUUUCGAACCGCAUGGUUCGAUAGUGAAAGAUGGCUCUGCUAUCACUUAUAGAUGGACCUGCGCCGUAUUAGCUAGUUGGUAAGGUAACGGCUUACCAAGGCAACGAUACGUAGCCGACCUGAGAGGGUGAUCGGCCACACUGGAACUGAGACACGGUCCAGACUCCUACGGGAGGCAGCAGUAGGGAAUCUUCCGCAAUGGGCGAAAGCCUGACGGAGCAACGCCGCGUGAGUGAUGAAGGUCUUCGGAUCGUAAAACUCUGUUAUUAGGGAAGAACAAACGUGUAAGUAACUGUGCACGUCUUGACGGUACCUAAUCAGAAAGCCACGGCUAACUACGUGCCAGCAGCCGCGGUAAUACGUAGGUGGCAAGCGUUAUCCGGAAUUAUUGGGCGUAAAGCGCGCGUAGGCGGUUUUUUAAGUCUGAUGUGAAAGCCCACGGCUCAACCGUGGAGGGUCAUUGGAAACUGGAAAACUUGAGUGCAGAAGAGGAAAGUGGAAUUCCAUGUGUAGCGGUGAAAUGCGCAGAGAUAUGGAGGAACACCAGUGGCGAAGGC
rnacentral:rRNA from 1 species